AGGAUGAUCAGUCACACUGGAACUGAGACACGGUCCAGACUCCUACGGGAGGCAGCAGUGGGGAAUAUUGGACAAUGGGCGAAAGCCUGAUCCAGCCAUGCCGCGUGUGUGAAGAAGGUCUUCGGAUUGUAAAGCACUUUAAGUUGGGAGGAAGGGCAGUAAGUUAAUACCUUGCUGUUUUGACGUUACCAACAGAAUAAGCACCGGCUAACUUCGUGCCAGCAGCCGCGGUAAUACGAAGGGUGCAAGCGUUAAUCGGAAUUACUGGGCGUAAAGCGCGCGUAGGUGGUUUUGUAAGUUGGAGGUGAAAUCCCCGGGCUCAACCUGGGAACUGCCUCCAAAACUGCAUGACUAGAGUACGGUAGAGGGUAGUGGAAUUUCCUGUGUAGCGGUGAAAUGCGUAGAUAUAGGAAGGAACACCAGUGGCGAAGGCGACUACCUGGACUGAUACUGACACUGAGGUGCGAAAGCGUGGGGAGCAAACAGGAUUAGAUACCCUGGUAGUCCACGCCGUAAACGAUGUCAACUAGCCGUUGGGUACCUUGAGUACUUAGUGGCGCAGCUAACGCAUUAAGUUGACCGCCUGGGGAGUACGGCCGCAAGGUUAAAACUCAAAUGAAUUGACGGGGGCCCGCACAAGCGGUGGAGCAUGUGGUUU
rnacentral:rRNA from 1 species